UACGGAGGAUGCAAGCGUUAUCCGGAUUUAUUGGGCGUAAAGCGUUCGUAGGCGGUUUUAUAAGUCUGCUGUCAAAGUGCGGAGCUCAACUCCGUAAGAGCAGUGGAAACUGUGAGACUAGAGUGUGGUAGGGGUAGAGGGAAUUCCCAGUGUAGCGGUGAAAUGCGUAGAUAUUGGGAAGAACACCGGUGGCGAAAGCGCUCUACUGGACCACAACUGACGCUGAGGGACGAAAGCUAGGGGAGCGAAAGGG
rnacentral:ncRNA from 2 species